rnacentral:rRNA from 1 species
GAUGAACGCUGGCGGCGUGCCUAAUACAUGCAAGUCGAGCGAACGGACGAGAAGCUUGCUUCUCUGAUGUUAGCGGCGGACGGGUGAGUAACACGUGGAUAACCUACCUAUAAGACUGGGAUAACUUCGGGAAACCGGAGCUAAUACCGGAUAAUAUUCUGAACCGCAUGGUUCAAAAGUAAAAGACGGUCUUGCUGUCACUUAUAGAUGGAUCCGCGCUGCAGUAGCUAGUUGGUAAGGUAACGGCUUACCAAGGCAACGAUGCAUAGCCGACCUGAGAGGGUGAUCGGCCACACUGGAACUGAGACACGGUCCAGACUCCUACGGGAGGCAGCAGUAGGGACUCUUCCGCAAUGGGCGAAAGCCUGACGGAGCAACGCCGCGUGAGUGAUGAAGGUCUUCGGAUCGUAAAACUCUGUUAUUAGGGAAGAACAUAUGUGUAAGUGACUGUGCACAUCUUGACGGUACCUACUCAGAAAGCCACGGCUAACUACGUG